CCUACGGGUGGCAGCAGUGGGGAAUAUUGGGCAAUGGGCGCAAGCCUGACCCAGCAACGCCGCGUGAAGGAAGAAGGCCCUCGGGUUGUUAACUUCUUUUUUCCGGGACGAAGUAAGUGACGGUACCUGACGAAUAAGCCACGGCUAACUACGGGCCAGCAGCCGCGGUAAUACGGAGGUCGCAAGCGUUAUCCGGAUUUACUGGGUGUACAGGGCGUGUAGGCGGGACUGCAAGUCAGAUGUGAAAUUCCAGUGCUCAACCCUGGAACCGCAUUUGAACCUGUCGUUCUUGAGUGAUGGAGAGGCAGGCGGAAUGCGGGGUGUAGCGGUGAAAUGCGUAGAUAUACGGAGGAACACCAGUGGCGAAGGCGGCAUGCUGGACAUUAACUGACGCUGAGGCGCGAAAGCGUGGGUAGCAAACAGGAUUAGAUACCCCAGUAGUC
rnacentral:rRNA from 1 species